GACGAACGCUGGCGGCGUGCUUAACACAUGCAAGUCGAACGGAAAGGCCCUGCUUUUGUGGGGUGCUCGAGUGGCGAACGGGUGAGUAACACGUGAGUAACCUGCCCUUGACUUUGGGAUAACUUCAGGAAACUGGGGCUAAUACCGGAUAGGAGCUCCUGCUGCAUGGUGGGGGUUGGAAAGUUUCGGCGGUUGGGGAUGGACUCGCGGCUUAUCAGCUUGUUGGUGGGGUAGUGGCUUACCAAGGUUUUGACGGGUAGCCGGCCUGAGAGGGUGGCCGGCGACAUUGGGACUGAGGUACGGAGCAGUCGCCAACGGGAGGCAGUAGGGGGGAAUAUUGCACAGUGGGCGGAAGCGUGUUGCAGAGGUGCAGCGAGCGGGAUGACGGCCUUCGAGUUGUAAACCAAUUUCGACUGAAACAUGGCGUGAGUGACGGUAAUGGGUAAGGAAGCAACGGCUAACUACGUG
rnacentral:rRNA from 1 species